CAGCAGCCGCCACGGUAAUACGUAGGGUGCAAGCGUUAAUCGGAAUUACUGGGCGUAAAGCGUGCGCAGGCGGUUGUGUAAGACAGGUGUGAAAUCCCCGGGCUUAACCUGGGAAUUGCAUUUGUGACUGCACGACUAGAGUGUGUCAGAGGGGGGUGGAAUUCCACGUGUAGCAGUGAAAUGCGUAGAUAUGUGGAGGAACACCAAUGGCGAAGGCAGCCCCCUGGGAUAACACUGACGCUCAUGCACGAAAGCGUGGGGAGCAAACAGGAUUAGAGACCCCUGUAGUCCCUGUCUCUUAUAC
rnacentral:rRNA from 1 species